UGAUAGCUAUGAAGCGUGAGGUUGCUGCGCAGGACAGAUGCCAGUCCGCAGUCGCAGGUUUUCCGUGGAGCGAAGGUCAUGUUAGGAAACUGACGACA
rnacentral:ncRNA from 1 species